rnacentral:rRNA from 1 species
UACGUAGGGUGCAAGCGUUGUCCGGAAUUAUUGGGCGUAAAGAGCUCGUAGGCGGUUUGUCGCGUCUGCUGUGAAAACGCGAGGCUCAACCUCGCGCCUGCAGUGGGUACGGGCAGACUAGAGUGUGGUAGGGGAGAUUGGAAUUCCUGGUGUAGCGGUGAAAUGCGCAGAUAUCGGGAGGAACACCGGUGGCGAAGGCGGUUCUCUGGGCCUUACCUGACGCUGAGGAGCGAAAGCGUGGGGAGCGAACAGG